rnacentral:misc_RNA from 1 species
GAUUAAUCGGGCAUUUGAGAUUAUCCAACCCAUAUCUUGGAGGGUCAUGCUCCCAGAUUUUCUGGUGGAUUUUGCAGCCAUGGCAUGGUUGGAAUCUCUUGUUGCCUGAGCUUAACACAAAUCUGAGCCUCAAUUUUUCUCUGUUCAGCUUGGCCUUUUUUAUUAUAUUUAGGGUAUGUUCGGUAUGAAGGAAAAUGUUAUCGAGAGUUGAGAUACAAAAAAACAAAAAGCUCAGAAGGGAAUGAAUGAGGCUACAAAUGAGUUGAGGAUUUU